rnacentral:rRNA from 1 species
UGGGGAAUAUUGGACAAUGGGCGAAAGCCUGAUCCAGCCAUGCCGCGUGAGUGAUGAAGGCCCUAGGGUUGUAAAGCUCUUUUAGCGGGGAAGAUAAUGACGGUACCCGCAGAAUAAGCCCCCGCUAACUUCGUGCCAGCAGCCGCGGUAAUACGAAGGGGGCUAGCGUUGCUCGGAAUCACUGGGCGUAAAGGGCGCGUAGGCGGCCAUUCAAGUCGGGGGUGAAAGACCAGGGCUCAACCCUGGAAUUGCCUUCGAUACUGUUUGGCUAGAGACGGAAAGAGGUAAGUGGAACUGCGAGUGUAGAGGUGAAAUUCGUAGAUAUUCGCGAGAAGAACAGUGGCGGAGGAGGCUUACUGGUGCGGUUCUGACGCUGAGGCGCGAAAGCGUGGGGAGGAAACAGG